UACGUAGGGUGCAAGCGUUAAUCGGAAUUACUGGGCGUAAAGCGUGCGCAGGCGGUUUCGUAAGUCUGUCGUGAAAGCCCCGGGCUCAACCUGGGAAUUGCGAUGGAGACUGCAAGGCUUGAAUCUGGCAGAGGGGGGUAGAAUUCCACGUGUAGCAGUGAAAUGCGUAGAGAUGUGGAGGAACACCGAUGGCGAAGGCAGCCCCCCUGGGUCAAGAUUGACGCUCAUGCACGAAAGCGUGGGGAGCAAACAGG
rnacentral:rRNA from 1 species